GGGUUGUGAGGUUAAGCGACUAAGCGUACACGGUGGAUGCCCUGGCAGUCAGAGGCGAUGAAGGACGUGCUAAUCUGCGAUAAGCGUCGGUAAGGUGAUAUGAACCGUUAUAACCGGCGAUUUCCGAAUGGGGAAACCCAGUGUGUUUCGACACACUAUCAUUAACUGAAUCCAUAGGUUAAUGAGGCGAACCGGGGGAACUGAAACAUCUAAGUACCCCGAGGAAAAGAAAUCAACCGAGAUUCCCCCAGUAGCGGCGAGCGAACGGGGAGCAGCCCAGAGCCUGAAUCAGUGUGUGUGUUAGUGGAAGCGUCUGGAAAGGCGCGCGAUACAGGGUGACAGCCCCGUACACAAAAAUGCACAUGCUGUGAGCUCGAUGAGUAGGGCGGGACACGUGGUAUCCUGUCUGAAUAUGGGGGGACCAUCCUCCAAGGCUAAAUACUCCUGACUGACCGAUAGUGAACCAGUACCGUGAGGGAAAGGCGAAAAGAACCCCGGCGAGGGGAGUGAAAAAGAACCUGAAACCGUGUACGUACAAGCAGUGGGAGCCUCUUUAUGGGGUGACUGCGUACCUUUUGUAUAAUGGGUCAGCGACUUAUAUUCUGUAGCAAGGUUAACCGAAUAGGGGAGCCGAAGGGAAACCGAGUCUUAACUGGGCGUUAAGUUGCAGGGUAUAGACCCGAAACCCGGUGAUCUAGCCAUGGGCAGGUUGAAGGUUGGGUAACACUAACUGGAGGACCGAACCGACUAAUGUUGAAAAAUUAGCGGAUGACUUGUGGCUGGGGGUGAAAGGCCAAUCAAACCGGGAGAUAGCUGGUUCUCCCCGAAAGCUAUUUAGGUAGCGCCUCGUGAAUUCAUCUCCGGGGGUAGAGCACUGUUUCGGCAAGGGGGUCAUCCCGACUUACCAACCCGAUGCAAACUGCGAAUACCGGAGAAUGUUAUCACGGGAGACACACGGCGGGUGCUAACGUCCGUCGUGAAGAGGGAAACAACCCAGACCGCCAGCUAAGGUCCCAAAGUCAUGGUUAAGUGGGAAACGAUGUGGGAAGGCCCAGACAGCCAGGAUGUUGGCUUAGAAGCAGCCAUCAUUUAAAGAAAGCGUAAUAGCUCACUGGUCGAGUCGGCCUGCGCGGAAGAUGUAACGGGGCUAAACCAUGCACCGAAGCUGCGGCAGCGACGCUUAUGCGUUGUUGGGUAGGGGAGCGUUCUGUAAGCCUGCGAAGGUGUACUGUGAGGUAUGCUGGAGGUAUCAGAAGUGCGAAUGCUGACAUAAGUAACGAUAAAGCGGGUGAAAAGCCCGCUCGCCGGAAGACCAAGGGUUCCUGUCCAACGUUAAUCGGGGCAGGGUGAGUCGACCCCUAAGGCGAGGCCGAAAGGCGUAGUCGAUGGGAAACAGGUUAAUAUUCCUGUACUUGGUGUUACUGCGAAGGGGGGACGGAGAAGGCUAUGUUGGCCGGGCGACGGUUGUCCCGGUUUAAGCGUGUAGGCUGGUUUUCCAGGCAAAUCCGGAAAAUCAAGGCUGAGGCGUGAUGACGAGGCACUACGGUGCUGAAGCAACAAAUGCCCUGCUUCCAGGAAAAGCCUCUAAGCAUCAGGUAACAUCAAAUCGUACCCCAAACCGACACAGGUGGUCAGGUAGAGAAUACCAAGGCGCUUGAGAGAACUCGGGUGAAGGAACUAGGCAAAAUGGUGCCGUAACUUCGGGAGAAGGCACGCUGAUAUGUAGGUGAAGCGACUUGCUCGUGGAGCUGAAAUCAGUCGAAGAUACCAGCUGGCUGCAACUGUUUAUUAAAAACACAGCACUGUGCAAACACGAAAGUGGACGUAUACGGUGUGACGCCUGCCCGGUGCCGGAAGGUUAAUUGAUGGGGUUAGCGGUAACGCGAAGCUCUUGAUCGAAGCCCCGGUAAACGGCGGCCGUAACUAUAACGGUCCUAAGGUAGCGAAAUUCCUUGUCGGGUAAGUUCCGACCUGCACGAAUGGCGUAAUGAUGGCCAGGCUGUCUCCACCCGAGACUCAGUGAAAUUGAACUCGCUGUGAAGAUGCAGUGUACCCGCGGCAAGACGGAAAGACCCCGUGAACCUUUACUAUAGCUUGACACUGAACAUUGAGCCUUGAUGUGUAGGAUAGGUGGGAGGCUUUGAAGUGUGGACGCCAGUCUGCAUGGAGCCGACCUUGAAAUACCACCCUUUAAUGUUUGAUGUUCUAACGUUGGCCCCUGAUCGGGGUUGCGGACAGUGUCUGGUGGGUAGUUUGACUGGGGCGGUCUCCUCCUAAAGAGUAACGGAGGAGCACGAAGGUUGGCUAAUCCUGGUCGGACAUCAGGAGGUUAGUGCAAUGGCAUAAGCCAGCUUGACUGCGAGCGUGACGGCGCGAGCAGGUGCGAAAGCAGGUCAUAGUGAUCCGGUGGUUCUGAAUGGAAGGGCCAUCGCUCAACGGAUAAAAGGUACUCCGGGGAUAACAGGCUGAUACCGCCCAAGAGUUCAUAUCGACGGCGGUGUUUGGCACCUCGAUGUCGGCUCAUCACAUCCUGGGGCUGAAGUAGGUCCCAAGGGUAUGGCUGUUCGCCAUUUAAAGUGGUACGCGAGCUGGGUUUAGAACGUCGUGAGACAGUUCGGUCCCUAUCUGCCGUGGGCGCUGGAGAACUGAGGGGGGCUGCUCCUAGUACGAGAGGACCGGAGUGGACGCAUCACUGGUGUUCGGGUUGUCAUGCCAAUGGCACUGCCCGGUAGCUAAAUGCGGAAGAGAUAAGUGCUGAAAGCAUCUAAGCACGAAACUUGCCCCGAGAUGAGUUCUCCCUGAGACUUUAAGUCUCCUGAAGGAACGUUGAAGACGACGACGUUGAUAGGCCGGGUGUGUAAGCGCAGCGAUGCGUUGAGCUAACCGGUACUAAUGAACCGUGAGGCUUAACCUUACAACGCCGAAG
rnacentral:rRNA from 1 species